CCUACGGGAGGCAGCAGUGGGGAAUAUUGGACAAUGGGCGCAAGCCUGAUCCAGCAAUGCCGCGUGAGUGAUGAAGGCCUUAGGGUUGUAAAGCUCUUUUACCAGGGAUGAUAAUGACAGUACCUGGAGAAUAAGCUCCGGCUAACUCCGUGCCAGCAGCCGCGGUAAUACGGAGGGAGCUAGCGUUGUUCGGAAUUACUGGGCGUAAAGCGUACGUAGGCGGUUAUUCAAGUCAGAGGUGAAAGCCCGGGGCUCAACCCCGGAACUGCCUUUGAAACUAGGUAGCUAGAAUCUUGGAGAGGUCAGUGGAAUUCCGAGUGUAGAGGUGAAAUUCGUAGAUAUUCGGAAGAACACCAGUGGCGAAGGCGACUGACUGGACAAGUAUUGACGCUGAGGUACGAAAGCGUGGGGAGCAAACAGGAUUAGAUACCCUGGUAGUCCACGCCGUAAACGAUGAUAACUAGCUGUCCGGUCACUUGGUGACUGGGUGGCGCAGCUAACGCAUUAAGUUAUCCGCCUGGGGAGUACGGUCGCAAGAUUAAAACGUCAAAUGAAUUGACGG
rnacentral:rRNA from 1 species